rnacentral:rRNA from 1 species
UAGGGAAUCUUCGGCAAUGGGGGCGAACCCUGACCGAGCAACGCCGCGUGAGUGAAGAAGGUUUUCGGAUCGUAAAGCUCUGUUGUUGGUGAAGAAGGAUAGAGGCAGUAACUGGUCUUUAUUUGACGGUAAUCAACCAGAAAGUCACGGCUAACUACGUGCCAC